rnacentral:rRNA from 1 species
GGCAAAGUUAAUAAGGGCGCACGGUGGAUGCCUUGGCACUAAGAGCCGAUGAAGGACGUGACUAACGACGAUAUUCUAGGGGGAGCAGUAAGUACGCAUUGAUCCCUAGGUCUCCGAAUGGGGAAACCCAGCUGCUACUAGCAGUUAUUCAUGAGUGAAUACAUAGCUCAUGUAAAGGUAACGCAGAGAACUGAAACAUCUAAGUACCUGCAGGAAGAGAAAGUAAAAACGAUUUCGUAAGUAGCGGCGAGCGAACGCGAAGAAGGGCAAACCAAGAAGCUUGCUUCUUGGGGUUGUAGGACUGCAACGUGGACUUAAGCAUUAUAGUCGAAUAACCUGGGAAGGUUAAUCAAAGAGGGUAAUAAUCCCGUAGACGAAAUAGCGCUUAUACCUAGCAGUAUCCUGAGUAGGGCUGGACACGCGAAAUCCAGUUUGAAUCCGGGAGGACCAUCUCCCAACCCUAAAUACUCCUUAGUGACCGAUAGUGAACCAGUACCGUGAGGGAAAGGUGAAAAGAACCCCGAGAGGGGAGUGAAAUAGCACCUGAAACCGUGUGCCUACAAGAAGUUCGAGCCCGUUAAUGGGUGAGAGCGUGCCUUUUGUAGAAUGAACCGGCGAGUUACGUUAUGAUGCGAGGUUAAGUUGAAGAGACGGAGCCGUAGGGAAACCGAGUCUGAAUAGGGCGACUUAGUAUCAUGAUGUAGACCCGAAACCUAGUGACCUAUCCAUGAGCAGGGUGAAGGUGUGGUAAGACGCACUGGAGGCCCGAACCAGGACACGUUGAAAAGUGUUUGGAUGACUUGUGGAUAGCGGAGAAAUUCCAAACGAACUGGGAGAUAGCUGGUUCUCUCCGAAAUAGCUUUAGGGCUAGCGUCGAAAUGUAAGUGUAUUGGAGGUAGAGCACUGUUUGGGUGAGGGGUCCGUCUAGGAUUACCAAUCUCAGAUAAACUCCGAAUGCUAAUACACAUGUUCGGCAGUCAGACUGCGAGUGCUAAGAUCCGUAGUCGAAAGGGAAACAGCCCAGACCAACAGCUAAGGUCCCAAAAUAUAUGUUAAGUGGAAAAGGAUGUGGGGUUGCACAGACAACUAGGAUGUUAGCUCAGAAGCAGCUAUCAUUCAAAGAGUGCGUAAUAGCUCACUAGUCGAGUGACCCUGCGCCGAAAAUGUACCGGGGCUAAACAUAUUACCGAAGCUUUGGAUUGAUAUUUUAUCAAUGGUAGGAGAGCGUUCUUAACCGCGAUGAAGGUAUACCGUGAGGAGUGCUGGAGCGUUAAGAAGUGAGAAUGCCGGUAUGAGUAGCGCAAGAUAAGUGAGAAUCUUAUCCACCGUAAGACUAAGGUUUCCAGGGGAAGGCUCGUCCGCCCUGGGUUAGUCGGGACCUAAGGCGAGGCCGAAAGGCGUAGUCGAUGGACAACUGGUUGAUAUUCCAGUACUAGAUAUGAUCGUGAUGGAGGGACGCAGUAGGCUAAGAGAUGCCAGUUAAUGGAUUCUGGUCUAAGCAGUGAGGUGUGAGAUGUGUCAAAUGCAUUUCUCUUU